rnacentral:lncRNA from 1 species
AAAAUAGACUCAAAUACAGGACUACAAUCCCCACAAGCCUUUGCUCUACUUCCCCAAAAUGCUUUGUAAUCUCACGGGAAUUCUGAGGUGGGCCGAGAUCGAGGAAGGAUUUAAGCUGGUGGCAAAGGUUUUUGGGUCUCUUUUGGACUUCCGUUUUGGAGCAGAUGCAUCUCUUCCAUGAGAAGAGGUUGUUUUUUCUAGGCCUCUGGCCUAGGCACAUGUUUCUUACUUGUAUUUUCUUUCAUCUUUAAUCCUUAAUAAACCUCUAAAAAAUAUCAUACUCCUUGCAGAGAGAAACUAAUUUCUACCUGCCUCAGUCUCCCCAUAGUCCUAAAUUUUAACUGUUACAGAUGGCGACCACUAGAUUGGAUGAGAACUUCUCAAAUUUUUUAGCCUAGAGAAUGAUUUUUUUAAGCCAGUUUCUCCAAGAUGCCUUUUUAGAAAACUAUCUUGAUCAGCUCCUGCCUGCGGCCCUCCCCAGCUCCUGCUUCUGAUCCUGGCCUCUCACCUGGUGCCCGAGCUCCCUGCUCUACCCACCCCAGCAGUCUGUCUCUCACCCAUCUGGCCUCCAACACAGACGGCUCAUCACCCCAGACCCAGACCCAUGAGCGUGACCCCAGCUGGCUCAUCAACCAGAUCCUUGGAGCAGCGACCAGCUGGUAACAAUAUUGGCCACGUGGGCGAAGGGGAGAGACAAGAGGGAAAGGAGAACAGAUGAGAAACCAAGACCGAGAAAAAGAGGAAGACUUGCCCAAGGUCUCACAACCAGUAAACGUCCCAACCAGAACCAAGCCCGGCUGCUCUGACUCCUAAUCCAAGAUUCUCUCCCCUCCUCUACUGCCUCUCCUAGCCCAGUUGCCUACAGCCCAGCAGCAUGGAUGGAAGCCCCCACUAGAACUCGGCGCAUCGCCGCUUAGAAUCCAGGAAUACUUUCCGUCCGUUGGCUCCCUGUUCAAACUGUGGACCACACAAAAGACGUUUGAAAGAAAAUCCACUUCAGCAUGGGAGGAAUCCACAGGAUGGGGAGAGACCCAAAUAGCUAUUCUUUGUCAUUGAUGUGAAUUCAACUCUGCUGCACACCGCGCUUCGGUAUUCAUCUGGAAGAGCCGCCCCGCGAAUGCCAACGUGGCCUCAAAGAAUUUCAGAGCGAGACACAAACUCCUCUGAAUGCACCUUCUAAAUUUAC